GGAUGUCAGGGCGAUCUGGCUGUGACAUCUGUCACCCUACUGAUCACCAGGGUUGAUCCGGCUGAUCUGGCUGGCUAGGGGGUGGCCCCUUCCUUCCUCAUUGCUCCGCGUGUGUCCCUCCCAAAGCCACAUGCUCAGAUUGAAGAGGACAACUACCCCCGAUGGAGGAGGACUGUUCCCUCAUCAAGGGUACACAAGUACCUGUGCUCCCCUGCCAGAACCUCCAAACAGACUCUCAACAACAUAAUCCCCAAAAACAAUAAAAUCUUUCAUGUACAAAAAUGUGUGUCAUAAUUAACAAUAGACAAACAAU
rnacentral:snRNA from 1 species